AUGUGGAAGCACCAUUAUAAAUUUUAUUACCAAUAUUGGUAGGAAAGUGGUUUACGAAGGAAAGAAAAUACAAAUUUUGAAUAAGAAGCAAUGGCUUUAAUGCAACAAAUAACCCAAUAUUCUAAAGCAAUGAUUCCGUUUUUGCGACCAAUGUGGCCUUAUGGCAUUUCUUUUUCCAUGACAGGAUACCUUGUUUGGAAGCUUCCAAUAACAGAGGAGACAAAGGCCAAUUCAAAGUAUUAUAAUCCUGGUCAACAUGAGCACUGAAUCAAAUUCAUUGUAAAGAUUUGAUGUUUUUGUGCAAUUCAAGUUCAAGAAAAGAAAAACAUUGUUACAGGACUCAAAUGAAUAUAAUUUUAUUGCUAACUAUUUCUUUUGCAUUUGGAAUCAAAAUAUAAUCUACAACAAAACCUAA